GGGGAUGUAGCUCAGUGGUGGAGUGCGCACUUCGCAUGUGUAAGGUCCCGGGUUCAAUCCCUGGCAUCUCCA
rnacentral:tRNA from 1 species